AGAAAAAAAAAACUCAUCUUGUUCCUAAGAUCGAAUCCCCCACCGGCGACAAUGGCGAAGGCCCCAAGGACGGGAGGAGCAACGCUUCCCACCCGCGGCCUCCCGGAGGAGAUCAUCUUCUGGGAAAUCCUCACCCGCCUUCCCCCAAGAUCUCUACUCCGCUGCCGCGCCGUCUGCCGCGACUGGCGCCGCGGCACCUCCAGCCGGGAUUUCCUCCUCGUCCACCACGGCCGGCAGCCCAGACUCCCCGUCGUCUGCAGCUCCGGAUACGGCGACGACCGCCACCAAUGCUUCUUCGCCUUCGAUCACCGAGCUGCCGACGCCCGGCUCCAACCCGUUGCCCAUCUUGAAGAUUCUUCCUGUCUGGAGGCCUGCUGCGACGGCCUCCUCAUCCUCUCCAACCACGGCGCGUCAGGCACCUGCUACUCCGUCUCUAAUAUGGCCACGCGUCAGCAUGCUCCCCUCCGGCAACUGUCGGACUUCGAUUUAUUGGGCAUGUACCUGCACCGCGCUACCGACGAGUACCGGCUGUUACUGCAACGGACUCUCAUCGAUCCGCUACCUGAAGGUCAAGUGGGCUGCUACAUCUUCGCAUUGGGCUCCGACCAGCCGCCGAGGUACAUCGGGGGGCCAGUGGCUGCUGAAUCAACCUACUUGCACACACCUGCCUUGGUCCGUGAUAGCCUGCAUUGGUUCCCAGUGCAUCGUCAGAGUGACCCACAGCAAUAUCACGCUGGAAGCAAAGUGGUAAUAGUAUUUGACACCACAUCCGAGUCGUUCCGGGAGAUGCGUGCUCCAGAUGUUCCUGGAAGGUCAUAUAUCUUUGAGAUGGAUGCCACGCUUGGCAUCUAUAGCUUGGACAAGGCCAUGCAAACUGUUUACAUAUGGGUGUUGCAGAACUACGAAAGCGAGGUCUGGGAGUGGGCGUACAGCAUCAAAUUGCCGGCUGCAGAAAUCGAGAGGCGGUUUCGAUGGUUGGAUCACAAUUGGACUGCCAGCGUUGUGUCGGUGGAAGGUGAAGUCCUCUUGCUGGUAGUUGCUCAGCUGCUCGAACUUUGGCUGCCUGGUGUCAGCUGGGUGUUACUGACAUGGCCUCUUCGGCGGAAGAAUAAACUUGUGAGACAAAAUAUUUGGAGUGCCUACCUUGUUAAAUUUUACACCAUGGAGAGCAGCUGGAGAUCCAUGGAACGGCAGUUCCAUGCGAAGCUACAUCUAUAAAUUCUUCCCCUCACAGCUGCAUCAAGUCUUGGUUAGUUGGUUUGUUCUCUGAAGCAGGAUUAUGUCCUGGUUGAGUUCUCGUGAAGCUUGCAGUUAGCAUUCACUGUUGGCGGAAUGGAUCAGUAUGGGCCUGGAGAGCAGGGUGGGGUGGCAUCUGGUACCACCUGGAGGGCCUGGAUUUGGUGGGAUUCUUGAGAUCCUGGACUUCUUCUGCGGAGGGCGUGCUUGUUAGGUUCGGGGCUCCUCUAGGUCGCAGCCAUCCUCAAUCUGCUCCAAUUGUAGCAAACUAUUGUGGACUGCCGCCGUCGAAGGUGGACAACUACUAUGUUACGAAGAGAAGCCACGUGGUGAAGAGACUCCUUUCUGUAUGCAUCUUGUACAUGCUCGUUCAAUUGAAGUACUGGGGCAUGUAACUGAAGCAAUCGGAUUCGCGUCAUGAGAUGAAAUGACAACAAGAUUGUGUUGGCCUCGGUCAGCUUGACACUUUUGCCGAGACAACACGUCAAGAAAAAUCAGAGAGAACUCGUGUCGGGCUUGCUGGCCAAGCUGAGAUUCAGGUACUCAAGCUUGGUCGAUAUAUUUCCUACUUGUCUUCAGAAAGACAUUUUCUGCCAUUUUUUUCCUUUCAAACAUGGCACUGAUAGUCAGAGAUCACAUGGAGGACAUUGUUGAAGCCUUCAAUCGCUAUAGCUCUAGGCAUGGAAACCUUCAAUUACAGUGGAGGAAGUUUUGGUAGGCAUCCAUCCAGUAGCUGCUUGGCCGAAAUCCUAACUCGGUUAUACAAAGUUUUUUCUUUAUAACCUGAGCUUUCAUAACAUGAAGAAGACAUGAACACGGGGCCCGGCUCCAUGGUGACCAACGAGCGGCAGGUCUUCUUCCCCAAAUUCUUGAAGAUUUGAUUUGAGGCCAACGUGUUACUGGGGCAACCUCGUUUAGACCCACCAUCUCCCUCUAUUAUUUCCAAUCCAUCCCAAUCCGCUUUGGAGCAGCAGGUUGUCUUCCCCAAAUUCUCUCAAAUGUAAAAAAAAAAAGAGAAACCGUAAUUUGGAAGCACAAAUCCACCACUAAUCCUAUUCCCACCGUUUGAUUUUCUAGUCGAGCUUGAUCGAUUCGGCAAGAAGCAAAAUAAAUGGGAGGCUUGGUACGCAGCUAGUACAUGCAACCUGAUUUAUUUCUCCCCUAAGGGGUGGUUCAGGCCCUCUAUUUAUCUUUUGUAUCUUGAGAAAUCCUUGUUUUGUUACUCCGAGGAGGAUGGUUUCUCUGAAAUUGUGGCAACCUCAUAUAUACAUCAUCUAUGUACAGUCACCCUCAGUAAUCCCGGC